CCGCGUGAGGGAUGGAGGCCUUCGGGUUGUAAACCUCUUUCGCCAGUGAAGCAGGCCUGUCCCUUUUGUGGGUGGGUUGACGGUAGCUGGAUAAGAAGCGCCGGCUAACUACGUGCCAGCAGCCGCGGUAAUACGUAGGGCGCGAGCGUUGUCCGGAAUUAUUGGGCGUAAAGAGCUCGUAGGCGGCUGGUCGCGUCUGUCGUGAAAUCCUCUGGCUUAACUGGGGGCUUGCGGUGGGUACGGGCCGGCUUGAGUGCGGUAGGGGAGACUGGAACUCCUGGUGUAGCGGUGGAAUGCGCAGAUAUCAGGAAGAACACCGGUGGCGAAGGCGGGUCUCUGGGCCGUUACUGACGCUGAGGAGCGAAAGCGUGGGGAGCGAACAGGAUUAGAUACCCUGGUAGUCCACGCCGUAAACGUUGGGCACUAGGUGUGGGGGGCCUUUUCCGGGUCUUCCGCGCCGUAGCUAACGCAUUAAGUGCCCCGCCUGGGGAGUACGGCCGCAAGGCUAAAACUCAAAGGAAUUGACGGGGGCCCGCACAAGCGGCGGAGCAUGCGGAUUAAUUCGAUGCAACGCGAAGAACCUUACCAAGGCUCGACAUGUGCCGGUCGGCUCCGGAGACGGGGUUUCCUCCUUGUGGGGCCGGUUCACAGGUGGUGCAUGGUUGUCGUCAGCUCGUGUCGUGAGAUGUGGGGUUAAGUCCGCAAGAGCGCA
rnacentral:rRNA from 1 species